GAUGAACGCUGGCGGCGUGCCUAAUACAUGCAAGUCGAGCGAACAGACGAGGAGCUUGCUCCUCUGACGUUAGCGGCGGACGGGGGAGUAACACGUGGAUAACCUACCUAUAAGACUGGGAUAACUUCGGGAAACCGGAGCUAAUACCGGAUAAUAUAUUGAACCGCAGGGUUCAAUAGUGAAAGACGGUUUUGCUGUCACUUUUAGAUGGUUCCGCGCCGCAUUAGCUAGUUUGUAAGGUAACGGCUUACCAAGGCAACGAUGCGUAGCCGAUAUGAGAGGGUGAUUGGCCAGACUGGAACUGAGACACGGUACCGACUCCUACGGGAGGAAGCAGUAGGGAAUCUUACGCAAAGGGCGAAAGCUUGACGGAGCAACGCCGCGUGAGUGAUGGAGGUCUUAGGCUCGUAAAACUAUGUUAUUAGGGAAGAACAAAUGUGUAAGUAACUAUGAACGUAUUGACGGUACCUAAUCAGAAAGCCACGGCUAACUACGUG
rnacentral:rRNA from 1 species